UCAAUAUAAAUUGAUUAGAUUUUAUUUAUUAAUAGUUAUUUUUUUUUAUUUAAUUUAUUAAAAAUAAUUUUAUAAAUAGUAUUUUUAGUAAUUUUUAAUGAACUAAUAAUUAUAAUUAUAGUUAAUUAGUAUUGUGAAAGAAAAUUGAAAUAUUUUGAAAAAUUUUUAUUUUUAAAGAAAAUUUAAUUUAUUGUACCUUGUGUAUCAGGGUUUAUCAAAUAAAAAAUAAUUAUUUAUUUUUCUCGAUUUUAAAAGAGUUAAUAAAUUAUUAAAGUUAUUGUAGUAAAAUUAUUUUAAAUAAUUUAUUAGAAAUGAAAUGUUAUUCGUUUUUAAUGGUAUCUAGUUUUUUAAGAAAUAAAUUUAAUUUAGAGGUAUUAAAUUUAAUAGGUUAAUUUUUUAAUUUAUUAAUUUUUUAUCUUAAUAUUUUAGGGGAUAAGCUUUAAAGUAAAAAUUCAUAAAUUUUAAGUAAUAUAAAUAAUGUAUGCUUAGAAUUAGCAAUCAUUUAUAAUUUUGUUAUAAAUUAUUUAUUUUAAAAUUUAUUAUUUAUUUAAUUUUGAAUAUUUAUUAAAAUGUUAAUUUAAAUUUUAGAUAUUUAGUAAUAAUGAUUGAAUUAGUAUAUUUAUUUGUUAAAAUAAAAUUAAUUGAUAAGUUUUUUUAAAGAAUUCGGCAAAUUUAAUGCUCGCCUGUUUAACAAAAACAUGUCUUUAUGAAUUAAUUUUAAAGUCUAACCUGCCCACUGAUAUUUUAAAUGGCCGCAGUAUCCUAACUGUGCAAAGGUAGCAUAAUCAUUAGUCUUUUAAUUGAAGGCUGGUAUGAAUGGUUGGACGAGGUAUUAACUGUUUCAAUAAAAUUUUUUAUAGAAUUUUAUUUUUUAGUCAAAAAGCUAAAAUAAUAUUAAAAGACGAGAAGACCCUAUAAAUCUUUAUAUUUAAGUUAUUAUAGUUAUUAAGAUUUUUUUUAUUAUAAUUAUAUUGAGUAUUUUAUUGGGGUGAUAUUAAAAUUUAAUAAACUUUUAUUAAAAAAACAUUGAUUAAUGAAUUUAUUGAUCCAUUAUUAGUGAUUAAAAAUUUAAGUUACUUUAGGGAUAACAGCGUAAUUUUUUUGGAGAGUUCAUAUUAAUAAAAAAGAUUGCGACCUCGAUGUUGGAUUAAGAAAUUAUUUUAGGUGUAGCCGCUUAAAUUUUAAGUCUGUUCGACUUUUAAAUUCUUACAUGAUCUGAGUUCAAACCGGUG
rnacentral:rRNA from 1 species